rnacentral:rRNA from 1 species
GUGGGGAAUCUUGCGCAAUGGGCGAAAGCCUGACGCAGCCAUGCCGCGUGAAUGAUGAAGGUCUUAGGAUUGUAAAAUUCUUUCACCGGGGACGAUAAUGACGGUACCCGGAGAAGAAGCUCCGGCUAACUUCGUGCCAGCAGCCGCGGUAAUACGAAGGGGGCUAGCGUUGCUCGGAAUUACUGGGCGUAAAGGGCGCGUAGGCGGACAGCUUAGUCAGAGGUGAAAGCCCAGGGCUCAACCUUGGAAUUGGCUUUGAUACUGGCUGUCUUGAGUUUGGGAGAGGUGAGUGGAACGCCGAGUGUAGAGGAGAAAUUCGUAGAUAUUCGGAAGAACACCAGUGGCGAAGGCGACUCACUGGCCCAAUACUGACGCUGAGGCGCGAAAGCGUGGGGAGCAAACAGGAUUAGAUACCCGAGUAGUCC